rnacentral:rRNA from 1 species
GACGAACGCUGGCGGCGUGCUUAACACAUGCAAGUCGAGCGGUAAGGCCCUUUCGGGGGUACACGAGCGGCGAACGGGUGAGUAACACGUGGGUGACCUGCCUUUAGCUCUGGGAUAAGCCGUGGGAAACUGGGUCUAAUACCGGAUAUGACCCUAUGGCGCAUGGUUGUGGGGUGGAAAGCCUUGUGCGGCUAGGGAUGGGCCCG